CGCAUUUUAUCCUUUUUGUCCGCAUCCGCAUUUUAUCACUUUUGUCCGCAUCCGCAUUUUAUCCCUUUUGUCCGCAUCCGCAUUUUAUCCCUUUGUCCGCAUCCGCAUUUUAUCCCUUUUGUCCGCAUCCGUAUUUUAUCCCUUUUGUCCGCAUCCGCAUUUUAUCCUUUUUGUCCGCAUCCGCAUUUUAUCCUUUUUGUCCGCAUCCGCAUUUUAUCCUUUUCGUCCGUC